rnacentral:rRNA from 1 species
UACGGAGGGGGCAAGCGUUGUUCGGAAUUACUGGGCGUAAAGGGCGCGUAGGCGGAUAUUUAAGUUAGAGGUGAAAGCCCAGGGCUCAACCCUGGAAUAGCCUUUAAUACUGGAUAUCUUGAGUUCGGGAGAGGUGAGUGGAACUCCGAGUGUAGAGGUGAAUGUCGUAGAUAUUCGGAAGAACACCAGUGGCGAAGGCGACUCACUGGCCCGAUACUGACGCUGAGGCGCGAAAGCGUGGGGAGCAAACAGG